GAUGAAGAACGUAGCGAAAUGCGAUAAGUAUUGUGAAUUGCAGAAUUCAGUGAAUCAUCGAAUCUUUGAACGCACAUUGCGCCCCUCGGUAUUCCGGGGGGCAUGCCUGUUCGAGCGUCAUUAUAGACCAUCAAGCACAGCUUGGCAUUGGGCCUUCGUCCCCGCAGCGGACGGGCCCCAAAGACCUCGGCGGUGAAACGUCGGCCUCAAGCGUAGUAGAAUCCUAUCCCGCUUACAGAGGCCGCGGUUCGCCCGCUCCGAAAACCCCACACCUCAAGGUUGACCUCGGAUCAGGUAGGGAUACCCGCUGAACUUAAGCAUAUCAAUAAGCGGAGGA
rnacentral:misc_RNA from 1 species